rnacentral:lncRNA from 1 species
UUGUUUCUAUAGUUUGAAUUCACUCCUUCUACAGCAAUCCGACAGAAUUACCUGAAUGCAAGAAUUGAUCAACAGGAUCCAAAAUUGUAAUUCGAGCCCACCGACUUCACGAUGUGUCCUUAAAACGAAUUUGCUGCCUUCUAUGGUGCUAAAGGCGUCCAGCAAUCGUUUCCCAGGAUAGAACGAAUUUUUCGUCUCCUACGGAAGCAGCACUGCAGUCUGUAGGAGUUCCAACGAACUCAACGAAGUGUUUUUUACUUCGAGACAAUAUCAGAACGAGAGAGAGGGAAAUG